rnacentral:pre_miRNA from 1 species
UCCGCCCAUGUCUUUCUGCGAGUUUUUUUCCCUAUGAGUACUGCGCAUAUUUGGUCGACAGUUUCCGGCUUUUGGUUGUAUUUUUGUUAAUCAAGGAAGGAAGAUGCCCUUGUUGGGGAAGGUGCUGACAGAAGAGAGUGGGCACAGA